rnacentral:tRNA from 1 species
AUUAGGAUCUGCUACACAAGCAAUUGGGCCCAUGCCCCAAAAACGGAUUAUCUACCUCCUAAUA